UACGUAGGGUGCAAGCGUUGUCCGGAAUUAUUGGGCGUAAAGAGCUCGUAGGCGGUUCGUCGCGUCGGCUGUGAAAACCUGAGGCUCAACCUCAGGCCUGCAGUCGAUACGGGCGGACUUGAGUACUGCAGGGGAGACUGGAAUUCCUGGUGUAGCGGUGAAAUGCGCAGAUAUCAGGAGGAACACCGGUGGCGAAGGCGGGUCUCUGGGCAGUAACUGACGCUGAGGAGCGAAAGCUAGGGGAGCAAACAGG
rnacentral:rRNA from 1 species